rnacentral:rRNA from 1 species
AUUGAACGCUGGCGGCAUGCCUUACACAUGCAAGUCGAACGGUAACGCGGGGCAACCUGGCGACGAGUGGCGAACGGGUGAGUAAUAUAUCGGAACGUGCCCAGUAGUGGGGGAUAGCCCGGCGAUAGCCGGAUUAAUACCGCAUACGACCUACGGGUGAAAGCAGGGGAUCGCAAGACCUUGCGCUAUUGGAGCGGCCG